UACGUAGGGGGCAAGCGUUGUCCGGAUUUAUUGGGCGUAAAGAGCGUGUAGGCGGCCAGGUAGGUCGGUUGUGAAAACUGGAGGCUCAACCUCCAGACGUCGACCGAAACCAUCUGGCUAGAGUCCGGAAGAGGAGAGUGGAAUUCCCGGUGUAGUGGUGAAAUGCGCAGAUAUCGGGAAGGAACACCAGUGGCGAAGGCGACUUCCUGGCCUGUUCUUGACGCUGAGGCGGCGAAA
rnacentral:rRNA from 1 species